AACGGCAGCACAGUAAGAGCUUGCUCUUAUGGGUGGCGAGUGGCGGACGGGUGAGGAAUACAUCGGAAUCUACCUUUUCGUGGGGGAUAACGUAGGGAAACUUACGCUAAUACCGCAUACGACCUUCGGGUGAAAGCAGGGGACCUUCGGGCCUUGCGCGGAUAGAUGAGCCGAUGUCGGAUUAGCUAGUUGGCGGGGUAAAGGCCCACCAAGGCGACGAUCCGUAGCUGGUCUGAGAGGAUGAUCAGCCACACUGGAACUGAGACACGGUCCAGACUCC
rnacentral:rRNA from 1 species